UGCAUACUCCCUCCGUCCCAAAAUUCUUGUCUUAUAUUUGUCUAGAUAUGAAUGUAUCUAGUCAUGUUUUCGUAUUUUGGUACAUCCAUUUCUAUACAAACCUAAAACAAUAAUUUUUUGACGGAGCCACGGAGGGAGUAUAAA
rfam:Hordeum vulgare subsp. vulgare, WGS project CAJW01000000 data, contig: morex_contig_170564